ACGAACUCCUACGGGAGGCAGCAGUGGGGAAUAUUGCACAAUGGGGGAAACCCUGAUGCAGCGACGCCGCGUGAGCGAUGAAGUAUUUCGGUAUGUAAAGCUCUAUCAGCAGGGAAGAAAAUGACGGUACCUGACUAAGAAGCCCCGGCUAACUACGUGC
rnacentral:rRNA from 1 species